rnacentral:rRNA from 1 species
UACGUAGGGACCAAGCGUUGUUCGGAUUUACUGGGCGUAAAGGGCGCGUAGGCGGCAAUUCAAGUCAUCUGUGAAAUCUCCGGGCUUAACUCGGAAUGGUCAGGUGAUACUGCUUUGCUAGAGUGCAGAAGGGGCAAUCGGAAUUCUUGGUGUAGCGGUGAAAUGCGUAGAUAUCAAGAGGAACACCUGAGGUGAAGACGGGUUGCUGGGCUGACACUGACGCUGAGGCGCGAAAGCUAGGGGAGCAAACAGG